GUAGUCAUAUGCUUGUCUCAAAGGUUAAGCCAUGCAUGUCUAAGUAUAAGCAAUUAUACCGUGAAACUGCGAAUGGCUCAUUAAAUCAGUUAUCGUUUAUUUGAUAGUACCUUACUACUUGGAUAACCGUGGUAAUUCUAGAGCCAAUACAUGCUAAAAACCCCAACUUCGGGAGGGGUGUAUUUAUUAGAUAAAAAACCAAUGCCCUUCGGGGCUCUUUGGUGAUUCAUGAUAACUUAACGGAUCGCAUGGCCUUGCGCCGGCGACGGUUCAUUCAAAUUUCUGCCCUAUCAACUUUCGAUGGUAAGGUAUUGGCUUACCAUGGUUUCAACGGGUAACGGGGAAU
rnacentral:rRNA from 1 species